AACGCACCUUGCGCUCUCCUGGACUUUCAUCCGGAGAGCAUGCCUGUCUGAGGGCCGCGAAUUUCUUCGAACGACAGCUUUUUUCAUUGCGAAGAUGGCUGGCGGAUCGGUUCUGAGGGUUUUGCCAUUUGCACUGGCUCCCUCGAAAUGCAUUAGCUGGAUGAUUUUACCAGAAGUUGGAAGGAUACAUGUCCCUCUCCCUUCGGAUCUUGAUAAUUAUCGAGGUACAAAAGUGAAGGAAACUCUUAUAUCUGACUUGUGGCAAUCAAUGCUGGCUUCUAAAGUUGCCCAUUGCCCCCCUGUGGGGAAGGGAUAUUAAUUCCAACGGCCUCAGAUCAGGUAGGACUACCCGCUGAACUUAA
rnacentral:misc_RNA from 1 species